UACGUAGGGGGCAAGCGUUGUCCGGAAUCAUUGGGCGUAAAGCGCGUGUAGGCGGCUUGGUAAGUCCGUUCUGAAAGCCCGGGGCUCAACCCCGGGAGGCGGAUGGAUACUGUCAAGCUUGAGUCCGGAAGAGGCGAGUGGAAUUCCCGGUGUAGCGGUGAAAUGCGCAGAUAUCGGGAGGAACACCAAUGGCGAAGGCAGCUCGCUGGGACGGUACUGACGCUGAGACGCGAAAGCGUGGGGAGCGAACAGG
rnacentral:rRNA from 1 species